ACGAACGCUGGCGGCGUGCUUAACACAUGCAAGUCGAACGGAAAGGCCCUGCUUUUGUGGGGUGCUCGAGUGGCGAACGGGUGAGUAACACGUGAGUAACCUGCCCUUGACUUUGGGUUACCUUCAGGAAACUGGGGCUAAUACCGGAUAGGAGCUCCUGCUGCAUGGUGGGGGUUGGAAAGUUUCGGCGGUUGGGGAUGGACUCGCGGCUUAUCAGCUUGUUGGUGGGGUAGUGGCUUACCAAGGCUUUGACGGGUAGCCGGCCUGAGAGGGUGACCGGCCACAUUGGGACUGAGAUACGGCCCAGACUCCUACGGGAGGCAGCAGUGGGGAAUAUUGCACAAUGGGCGGAAGCCUGAUGCAGCAACGCCGCGUGCGGGAUGACGGCCUUCGGGUUGUAAACCGCUUUCGCCUGUGACGAAGCGUGAGUGACGGUAAUGGGUAAAGAAGCACCGGCUAACUACGUG
rnacentral:rRNA from 1 species